rnacentral:rRNA from 1 species
UACGGGGGGGGGUAAGCGUUGUUCGGAAUUACUGGGCGUAAAGGCUCGUAGGCGGCCAACUAAGUCAGACGUGAAAUCCCUCAGCUUAACUGGGGAACUGCGUCUGAUACUGGAUGGCUUGGAUUUGGGAGAGGGAUGCGGAAUUCCAGGUGUAGCGGUGAAAUGCGUAGAUAUCUGGAGGAACACCGGUGGCGAAGGCGGCAUCCUGGACCAAUAUUGACGCUGAGGAGCGAAAGCCAGGGGAGCAAACGGG